rnacentral:rRNA from 1 species
GUAGGUGGCAAGCGUUGUCCGGAAUUAUUGGGCGUAAAGCGCGCGCAGGCGGUUCUUUAAGUCUGAUGUGAAAGCCCACGGCUCAACCGUGGAGGGUCAUUGGAAACUGGAGAACUUGAGUACAGAAGAGGAAAGCGGAGUUCCACGUGUAGCGGUGAAAUACGUAGAGAUGUGGAGGAACACCAGUGGCGAAGGCGGCUUUCUGGUCUGUAACUGACGCUGAGGCGCGAAAGCGUGGGGAGCAAACAGGGAUUAGAUACCCUGGUAGUCCACGCCGUAAACGAUGAGUGCUAAGUGUUAGGGGGGUUUCCGCCCCCUUAGUGCUGCAGCUAACGCAUUAAGCACUCCGCCUGGGGAGUACGGCCGCAAGGCUG